CUCUCAGCUCAACUUUCAACUGCCAGAGCAUAACGUUCUUCUGUGCGCCUAGUAGCUUGCCUUUGAAUGUAGCACUUGUGACAGCGAGGACUAACAGCACUGCCAUGAAGGCAUGGUGAAGGAUAAUGGGUGCUUUCUCUAAAAGAGGCAUACACAGCCUUGAAAUGGGACCUGCAGGCACUUUGAUAAAUGGGUCGAAAGCGUGUCAUCGCAUCUAUCACCUGCUGUUGAAAACCUCUCCCAGCGAGCUGAAAAUCCCGGCAGGCAUCCUACCGCUCCUGCGGCGACAGUACACAGCAGUGGGGGGGCUAUUUUCUCUCCGCAUUUGGUCUCCACACUGUCCCAAAAAGCCAACAUCCGCCUGAAACCAAUGGACGUUAAAGAACAGCUCUAAAGGGUUUGACUGAAUAAGAGUCUGUGUCGUCUGCCAGAGAAGUGGAAUUAGGGAAUGGAAAGGCAUCAGCACAGAACAUCUGAAAAAACCCCAGCAGAAACGAAAUAACAAAAAAGCCCAGAGCUGGAAUGUUGUCUUGCUGUGAACUGUAUGCAAAUACACUAAGCAGAUGAGAUGUGCAACAUUAAACUUGGCAGGCCUGUUCCUUCUGAAAUGUAAA